UACGUAGGUGGCAAGCGUUGUCCGGAAUUACUGGGCGUAAAGCGCACGUAGGCGGACUGUUAAGUCGGGGGUGAAAUCCUGGGGCUCAACCUCAGAAUUGCCUCCGAUACUGGCAGUCUCGAGUGCGGGAGAGGUGAGUGGAAUUCCCAGUGUAGAGGUGAAAUUCGUAGAUAUUGGGAAGAACACCAGUGGCGAAGGCGGCUCACUGGCCCGUAACUGACGCUGAGGUGCGAAAGCGUGGGGAGCAAACAGG
rnacentral:rRNA from 1 species